rnacentral:lncRNA from 1 species
UGAUUGGCCACUAACAAGAAUGGUGUCUUUCUAGAUUUAUCAAUGAUCAGGGUUCAUCUUGAUCAACCUUCAUUUGUGACGUCUUGUCCUUCGAACACAUACGAACAACACGAAAGAAUCUAGAGUAGUCAAUGAUCAUCGCAAAAAGAUAUCUGGCUUUGUUUGCAGACAUGACAUUAGCUGAUCCGUAGAAAUCCAUACGUAUCAUCUGAAGCGGCUCAGUAAUGUUGAUCAUAUCUUUGCUUCUGUGCGAUGCUCCUUCGACUUCCCUAUUGACAUACCUCAUAAUCUUCAUCCAUAUUGAAUUCCAGAUGAG